rnacentral:rRNA from 1 species
GACGAACGCUGGCGGCGUGCUUAACACAUGCAAGUCGACGAGCGGCGAACGGGUGAGUAAGGCGUGAGUAACCUGCCCCCUCUCUGGGAUAACAGUUGGAAACGGCUGCUAAUACCGGAUAGUGGGGGAUGGGAUCGGGGCCUAUCAGCUUGGUUGUGGGGUGAUGGCUUACCAAGGCGGUGACGGGUAGCCGGCCUGAGAGGGUGGACGGCCACGCUGGGACAGAGCCACGGCCCAGACUCUGACGGGAGGAAGCAGUGGGGAAUAUUGCAUAAUGGGCGCAAGCCUGAUGCAGCGCCGCCGUGUGAGGGAUGGAGGCCUUCGGGUUGUAAACCUCUUUCGCCAGUGAAGCGGUAGCUGGAUAAGAAGCGCCGGCUAACUACGUGCCAGCAGCCGCGGUAAUUC